GACCUCCGAAGUUAAGCGGCGCAGGGCCCGGUUAGUACUGGGGUGGGGGACCGCCCGGGAAGACCUUAGGGUGCUGUCGGCU
rnacentral:rRNA from 1 species